AGCUGGCUCAGAUGGUAAAGCGUCUGCCUGCAAUGCAGAAGACCUGGGUUCGAUUCCUGGGUU
rnacentral:tRNA from 1 species